rnacentral:lncRNA from 1 species
AGGAACAAGAAACAAUUUUUGAUCCAGUACUUUGCCAUUUUACUCCAUUUCCACAAUUUUUUAUUCUCUUCCUUUGAUAGAUUUGUGUAUGACAAAUAUUUGAUAAGUUUGAUGUAUUCUUCAGUGGCAGCAAAGCUAAGUGGUUGGCUAAAGUUUGAGAGCCAGUCCUCAUUAGAGAGGAAGCCAUUAAUGCUGGUUUAGGGUUGACUGCAAGAGCAUGAAGGUUCGGC